rnacentral:ncRNA from 1 species
UCUUAUCCAGAGUGGUGGAGGGACUGGCCCUAUGAAACCCGGCAACCAAUGUAUCUAGGCGAACUACGUCUAAAUAUAGAACGGUGCUAAUUCCAGCAGUUAUGAAUAUAACUGGCAGAUAAGA